rnacentral:tRNA from 1 species
CGCUAAGAAGCUAAACAGGAAGUAGCGCUAGCCUUUUAAGCUAGAGAUUGGUGACUACCAACCACCCUAGCGA